rnacentral:rRNA from 1 species
GGAAUAUUGGUCAAUGGGCGAGAGCCUGAACCAGCCAAGUCGCGUGAAGGAAGAAGGUUCUAUGGAUUGUAAACUUCUUUUAUUCGAGGGUAAAGGUCGGUACGUGUACCGAUUUGCAAGUAUCGAAUGAAUAAGCAUCGGCUAACUCCGUGCCAGCAGCCGCGGUAAUACGGAGGAUGCGAGCGUUAUCCGGAUUUAUUGGGUUUAAAGGGUGCGUAGGUGGUCUGUUAAGUCUGUGGUGAAAGCGUGCGGCUCAACCGUACCAAGCCAUGGAUACUGGCGGACUUGAGUGCAAACGAGGUAGGCGGAAUGUGACGUGUAGCGGUGAAAUGCUUAGAUAUGUCACAGAACCCCGAUUGCGAAGGCAGCUUACCAGCAUGCAACUGACACUGAGGCACGAAAGCGUGGGUAUCAAACA